UUUUUUUUUCUGGAUAGAGAUUGUUCUCCCCUUGAGCUGUUGCUGGAAGGGGUCAUUGGAAGGGGAAAACAACAACCCUGAUGGAAACUAAUGACUGUAUCUUUUCCAUUUCCCAUGAAAGCAAGAAGUAAGCGAUAAAGCUGUUUUUAUGGCUGCUGUCCAGUCAACUUUGGGAGGAAAACUGCAACGUUUUGAAGAAGAAAAAUAAAAGGUGUAAGUGAUAUAGAGAUGAAGUAGCGAGAGGAAGCUGGUAAUAAAGUUCAGGACACAGUGUUGGUUCUUGACCAACAGUGGGGGAUCAGUGCCCGUGAAGAUGUGCAGACAAGGCAUGUUUCAGACUCCCAGAAGCUGUUUGUUUGCCAUACUGUGAGGAAGCAGGUGUGGGCCAGCACCACUGCAUGCUCCUGUUGCACUAUGAGGACAUGGUUUAGGACCAGACCAAGUUGCCCCAAGAUCAAUUCCUUCCCGUGACUGUCAGGUAUGACCUGACCAUACCUCUCCAUGGGACAGUGCAUAUCUGGACAAAGAAGAAAAAGUUGGUAACACUUAUGAUACAACGCUAAGAUAUGGCAGUGUUGGACACAAGACACUAUGCAGACCAAGGAUGGUGCUCUACAGUGAUACAGAAUGAGUCAUCAAAUAUAGCUGAUGUUCUUUUCAGCAUCAGUGUUGUGUGAGACCAAAAAGUAUAGUCAAAUAACAGAUCCUAUCUUCUCUUGGAUCAGAUAAAGAGCUAAUCAUAAGAGAUACAAAGAAAAUGUUUGCAUUCUCUGUCAGGAAUAUGAGGAGAAGGAAAAAGA
ensembl:lncRNA